CGGAAAAUCAAGGCUGAGGCGUGAUGACGAGGCACUACGGUGCUGAAGCAACAAAUGCCCUGCUUCCAGGAAAAGCCUCUAAGCAUCAGGUAACAUCAAAUCGUACCCCAAACCGACACAGGUGGUCAGGUAGAGAAUACCAAGGCGCUUGAGAGAACUCGGGUGAAGGAACUAGGCAAAAUGGUGCCGUAACUUCGGGAGAAGGCACGCUGAUACGUAGGUGAAGUCCCUUGCGGAUGGAGCUGAAAUCAGUCGAAGAUACCAGCUGGCUGCAACUGUUUAUUAAAAACACAGCACUGUGCAAACACGAAAGUGGACGUAUACGGUGUGACGCCUGCCCGGUGCCGGAAGGUUAAUUGAUGGGGUUAGCGGUAACGCGAAGCUCUUGAUCGAAGCCCCGGUAAACGGCGGCCGUAACUAUAACGGUCCUAAGGUAGCGAAAUUCCUUGUCGGGUAAGUUCCGACCUGCACGAAUGGCGUAAUGAUGGCCAGGCUGUCUCCACCCGAGACUCAGUGAAAUUGAACUCGCUGUGAAGAUGCAGUGUACCCGCGGCAAGACGGAAAGACCCCGUGAACCUUUACUAUAGCUUGACACUGAACAUUGAGCCUUGAUGUGUAGGAUAGGUGGGAGGCUUUGAAGUGUGGACGCCAGUCUGCAUGGAGCCGACCUUGAAAUACCACCCUUUAAUGUUUGAUGUUCUAACGUUGGCCCCUAAUCGGGGUUGCGGACAGUGUCUGGUGGGUAGUUUGACUGGGGCGGUCUCCUCCUAAAGAGUAACGGAGGAGCACGAAGGUUGGCUAAUCCUGGUCGGACAUCAGGAGGUUAGUGCAAUGGCAUAAGCCAGCUUGACUGCGAGCGUGACGGCGCGAGCAGGUGCGAAAGCAGGUCAUAGUGAUCCGGUGGUUCUGAAUGGAAGGGCCAUCGCUCAACGGAUAAAAGGUACUCCGGGGAUAACAGGCUGAUACCGCCCAAGAGUUCAUAUCGACGGCGGUGUUUGGCACCUCGAUGUCGGCUCAUCACAUCCUGGGGCUGAAGUAGGUCCCAAGGGUAUGGCUGUUCGCCAUUUAAAGUGGUACGCGAGCUGGGUUUAGAACGUCGUGAGACAGUUCGGUCCCUAUCUGCCGUGGGCGCUGGAGAACUGAGGGGGGCUGCUCCUAGUACGAGAGGACCGGAGUGGACGCAUCACUGGUGUUCGGGUUGUCAUGCCAAUGGCACUGCCCGGUAGCUAAAUGCGGAAGAGAUAAGUGCUGAAAGCAUCUAAGCACGAAACUUGCCCCGAGAUGAGUUCUCCCUGACUCCUUGAGAGUCCUGAAGGAACGUUGAAGACGACGACGUUGAUAGGCCGGGUGUGUAAGCGCAGCGAUGCGUUGAGCUAACCGGUACUAAUGAACCGUGAGGCUUAACCUUACAAC
rnacentral:rRNA from 1 species